CGGCUCUCGCUGGUCUGAAACCCCAGUCGCCUCCACCACCAGUAGAACCACCACUUUGAUCUUUUAAACCACCUCCAUCAAGAGCACCACCACCUCCUUGGCUCUAUCUAGUUUUGGUUGAGUUGAGGGGAGGAACUCAAGAAGGAGUCUGAAAGCUAUUAUCAUUCAGUUUGAGUUAAGGGAAGGAAGGAGUCUGAAUCUCUGAUUACAGGGUAAUGAUUGGAUCAAGUUCAGUUUCAUUAUCAAGCUGCAAGAUGGCAAGUGCAUCUCCCUCUCCAUCCCCUGCAGCUGGGUCUACUGAUGUGACACUGUCAAUAACACCUCAAGUUGAUGCUACAAAUCAAGAAACACAAGCUAUAGAGCAGGCUACACAGGACCCUGCACCUGAGGUUGUACCGAAGAAGAAGGGGAAAACUAGAUCAAAAGUUUGGAAUGACUUUGUAAGGCUCAGUGAAGA